AGGGAAAUGGAGUAGUAAAAAUAAAAUUAUUAGGUAAUAAUAAUUGUAAAAGGUAAGUGCCUAUGUAAAGAUUUUUGUAAAUGCAGCAACCGAGGGAUUCAUCUUAUGCUUCUGAACGUACUGAAACAAAAAAAAUAGCCAGUUAUGACUGUUUUUUAAAAAGAGAAAGCUGCUCACAAGAUGGCCCUUGUGGCUUUGCCUCAAGCUCUGAAUCCUCUGCUGUCCAAGUAUUUGGCUUCUGGUCCCAUCAGUUUUACUCCCUUGCCUUCAGCUGUACAUCUCUUCCAGCACGUCAGAGCAGCAGUGCUCGCUGGUGGAUCCGUGGACGGAGAGGGGCUUUCAGUUCCAGAAAUGCACUGUUGCAUGUGGGAAAAUUUCAGCCAGUCUUUUCCUUGAGAGGAAGAGGUUCCCCACAGUCAUGCUGAGGAAGACCUCAGGAGCGUAGGAAUCUAACUUGAGAUAUCUGCUUGGCAAUCCAAAGCUCCUUCUAAUAAACAGUGUUACUGUUUUGCACGGCAGCCCAGCUCUCCUCAAAAGUGCCACGAAAAGGUUCUUCUUAGAUCCAGAAGUUUGUCUGGAUCAAAGUACUUUGUGAUUUUGAAGACCUAAAUGGGGCCAUAACAAAGUUUGGUGCUCUGCAGUGAGAAAAAGAUCAUGUAUACAUUUCUGCAUAAUAAAAUGAAAACCAAGAAAGCUUAUACUGUGGCAGCCCAACAUCAAAUGCGUCGAGGACGUGAAGACACACACAAGCACUGAUGUAUUACUAAAAUGGAUAAUGUACAUGGAAUUAGAUACUUCAUCUAAUUCAGAAUUCAGUGGACCCAUUGCAAAGCAAAAAGAUGCAGAGUACAUAACCUAUAAAGAAUCACGUAUCGUCUAACCCUGACUCUGAAAAAGGGAUUAACGCCUGAGGAGGGAGAGUAUGGGGGAGGACUACUAUACCACCUCAUGCACUGGCAGGUCGUCCGUAAUUUGUUACACUUUGUUCUCAGUUUUAGGGUCUGACUGGACACAGUAGUGAUGUCUUUUCAAGUUAUUUAUUUUGCGUGGUUUAACACUGUCAUACUGCUAGUAAGAUAUCUGGGACCUGUGAGUGCACUUUGAAAACCGGAUUCUCAGGUCUCUGUAAAUCUUCCGAUUUCCAGUGGUUCAAGGAGGAUUAAGAGUUAUGUCACACAGAAAGGAAAAAAAGUUAGUCUCUCGUUAGUUCUCAUUAAUUUCUUCCAGCUAUAAGGGGUGCACCAGCCAUGAAAAAGUGUCUCAUUAGUCCUGUGCUAGAAGUCACUGGGAAAGGCAACUGGACAGCUUCAGGCGGGGUGUUCUGUUUGGGUAGUGAUUUCUAGAGGUUUCACGACUGGGAAAGCCAAGAGACUUUUAUAGGGUUCCUCAUUUCUCCUGGAAAUAAGGACCUAGGGCCACCUUUCAGAAGAUGAUGACAGAUACAUUAAAUGACUGACACAAUUCAGGUUUCUAACUGAAUGAUUAAAAUGGGAGGAAGGCACAUUCUUGCACACGUUUGAAAAUCCAUCAGAUACGUAUUUGCAUAUUUAGGCACCGAAAUGCCUUUGGUUAGUUGCUUCUUCUCUGUAGAAUGCUACAGGACUGCUCUUUUCUUGUUUUCA